rnacentral:rRNA from 1 species
CAAUAGCGUAUAUUAAAGUUGUUGCAGUUAAAAAGCUCGUAGUUGGAUUUCUGGUGGGAGCGAUCGGUCUGGCGCUUAGCGCGAGUACUUGCAUCGUCUCCGGCCAUCCUUGGGGAGAGUCUGUCUGGCAUUAGGUUGUCGGGCAGAGGAUCCUCAUCGUUCACUGUGAAAAAAUUAGAGUGUUCAAAGCAGGCUUAUGCCGUUGAAUAUAUUAGCAUGGAAUAAUAAGAUAGGACUUUGGUACUAUUUUGUUGGUUUGCGCACCAAAGUAAUGAUUAAUAGGGACAGUUGGGGGUAUUCGUAUUCCGUUGUCAGAGGUGAAAUUCUUGGAUUUACGGAAGACGAACUACUGCGAAAGCAUUUACCAAGGAUGUUUUCAUUAA